GAGAUGACUCUCGGCAUUGCUUUCUAAAACCAUAGCUUUGGUUGUUGUGAUUUUUCUCUAGUAAUUCGGCACUAAUAGCCAACUCUUCUGCUUCUGAGGGGUAGUUAACAUGCUGUAAUCCAAUUUUGUCACGAAUAUAAGGUCUUAAUCCAAACAAAUAUCGUGCAGUUUGUUGUGCAAGGGACUCCGUGAGACGAUUUCUUGCAGCAAGGUUAAAAAACUCCUGCGAAUACUCCUGCAUAGUUCGACUUCUUUGUACGCAACCAUGGUAUUUUUCAAACAACACCUGCUUGUAAUUCCAGUGAAGGAAUCGAGCCUGAAGCAUGCUCUGUAUUUUGCGCUAAGUUUGGACAAGAUUCUUUCCUUGCUGCACCCUGGAAUCUUGUUGCUCAUCCCACCAAA
rnacentral:lncRNA from 1 species